UACGUAGGUGGCAAGCGUUGUCCGGAAUUAUUGGGCGUAAAGCGCGCGCAGGUGGUUUCUUAAGUCUGAUGUGAAAGCCCACGGCUCAACCGUGGAGGGUCAUUGGAAACUGGAGGACUUGAGUACAGAAGAGGAGAGCGGAAUUCCACGUGUAGCGGUGAAAUGCGUAGAGAUGUGGAGGAACACCAGUGGCGAAGGCGGCUUUCUGGUCUGUACCUGACGCUGAGGUGCGAAAGCAUGGGGAGCAAACAGG
rnacentral:misc_RNA from 1 species